AGACUAUGCAAAAUAAGUUGUUCAUAAAUUUCAUUUAAUGAAUUUUAUAAGCACAUGGUAUAUUAUUGGAUAUAAUAAUUAUUAAUUAUUGUAUUCAUAAUAUUAAAAAUUAUAUGAAAAACAUUAUUCUCACAUUGUUGUAAAUAUUUGAAUGUGAAAACGAAGAGAAAUAUUUUCUUUUUUUUUAAUCAAAUAAUACUGAGAAAUGUCUAGCAUAAAAAAUAUGAAAAUAUUUUUCAUCUAGAAUUGUCUCUUAUUAAUGAUGAAAAAAUUGAAAAACGUUGUAAAUGUUAUUAUUCUUCGUUGUGUUUGUCAAUAAUAAAAUGGCAAAUUUAAAAUGUAAUGUUAUUUCUAUAUAAAAAGAAUUAAUGCAAACAAAUGUUUUAU
rnacentral:misc_RNA from 1 species